GGGGAUAACCACUUACAUCAUAUCUCUUAUACAUUUACCCAGUCUCCUCAACCCGGUCACAAUACGAAUUUUUUAGAUGUUACUGUGUAUAAACUUCAUAACAAACUGUUGGUCAAGAACUUCAGAAAACCAUCAGAUAAGAAUUCUUUUCUUCAUUAUAACAGCUUCCACCACUUUGGUUUAAAGACCAAUCUUCCAUUUUCACAACUACUUAGACUAAAGCGUAACUCAAGCUCUAAUGAACACUUCAUUCAUGAAAGCCUGACCUUAAGCCAGGAGUUUAGAAGUAGAGGCUAUCCUAAACAUGUCAUCAAAAAGGCAUUAAUUAAAGCUGAAAAAACUGAUAGAACCACCCUACUGAAAGAAUCUGCUAAACCAACUAAAAAUCAAAUUAUCUGGACACAAGAAUUAUCACAUUACUCCAAACACAUAAUCCAAAUUAUAAAAAAACACUGGCAUCUUCUUCAAGAUAUUUCAGGUUGCGAUAAAUUACCUAUUUUUGGAAACAGGCGUACUAAAAAUAUUAGAGAAUAUUUAAUCCAUACAGAUUUAACCACUCCUAUUAGUACACCAAAGAGCACCCUGAGAGGCCAUUAUCCUUGUGGUCACUGUAAGUGUUGUCCUCAAUCUUGGAAGACUAAGGAGAUAUAUAAUCAUAGGAACAAAGUGGGCACCACACUAAAACAUUUUUCUACUUGUAAUAGCAACAAUGUAAUCUACCUCUUGACAUGUGACUGUGAUCUCUGGUAUAUUGGAAAAACAACCAGAUCCUUGAGAAUCAGAAUCUCUGAACAUAAAUCCAGAAUCAAAAAUUUAUCUACAGAAUCUCUUUUAUAUUCACACUUCACCCAAUACAAACAUUCACCUACCUCAUUUAAAUUUUGUGUUCUGGAAUGCAUCUCUCAAAAACCUUUCAUGGACUUGGAAAAACUAUUAUCCCAAAGGGAAAUGUACUGGAUCUUUAAGUUUAAAACCUUUUCCCCUCAGGGACUUAAUGAAUCACUUAAUUUUAGCUGUUUCCUUUAA
rnacentral:lncRNA from 1 species